CAAUAGCGUAUAUUAAAGUUGUUGCGGUUAAAAAGCUCGUAGUUGGAUUUCUGCUGAGAACGACCGGUCCGCCCUCUGGGUGUGUAUCUGGCUCUUUCUUGGCAUCUUCUUGGUGAACGUUGCUGCACUUGACUGUGUGGAGCGCUACCCAGGACUUUUACUUUGAGGAAAUUAGAGUGUUUCAAGCAGGCAUACGCCUUGAAUACAUUAGCAUGGAAUAAUAAGAUAGGACCUCGGUUCUAUUUUGUUGGUUUCUAGAGCUGAGGUAAUGAUUAAUAGGGAUAGUUGGGGGCAUUCGUAUUUAACUGUAAGAGGUGAAAUUCUUGGAUUUGUUAAAGACGGACUACUGCGAAAGCAUUUGCCAAGGAUGUUUUCAUUAA
rnacentral:rRNA from 1 species